rnacentral:rRNA from 1 species
UACGGAGGGGGCUAGCGUUGUUCGGGAAUUACUGGGCGUAAAGCGCACGUAGGCGGCUUUGUAAGUUAGAGGUGAAAGCCCGGGGCUCAACUCCGGAAUUGCCUUUAAGACUGCAUCGCUAGAAUUGUGGAGAGGUAAGUGGAAUUCCGAGUGUAGAGGUGAAAUUCGUAGAUAUUCGGAAGAACACCAGUGGCGAAGGCGACUUACUGGACACAUAUUGACGCUGAGGUGCGAAAAGCGUGGGGAGCAAACAGG